GGUUAAGCGACUAAGCGUACACGGUGGAUGCCCUGGCAGUCAGAGGCGAUGAAGGGCGUGCUAAUCUGCGAUAAGCGCCGGUAAGGUGAUAUGAACCGUUAUAACCGGCGAUACCCGAAUGGGGAAACCCAGUGUGAUUCGUCACACUAUCAUUAACUGAAUCCAUAGGUUAAUGAGGCGAACCGGGGGAACUGAAACAUCUAAGUACCCCGAGGAAAAGAAAUCAACCGAGAUUCCCCCAGUAGCGGCGAGCGAACGGGGAGGAGCCCAGAGCCUGAAUCAGCAUGUGUGUUAGUGGAAGCGUCUGGAAAGGCGCGCGAUACAGGGUGACAGCCCCGUACACAAAAGCGCAUGUGCUGUGAGCUCGAUGAGUAGGGCGGGACACGUGGUAUCCUGUCUGAAUAUGGGGGGACCAUCCUCCAAGGCUAAAUACUCCUGACUGACCGAUAGUGAACCAGUACCGUGAGGGAAAGGCGAAAAGAACCCCGGCGAGGGGAGUGAAAAAGAACCUGAAACCGUGUACGUACAAGCAGUGGGAGCACAGGUUUACCUGUGUGACUGCGUACCUUUUGUAUAAUGGGUCAGCGACUUAUAUUCUGUAGCAAGGUUAACCGAAUAGGGGAGCCGGAGGGAAACCGAGUCUUAAUUGGGCGUUAAGUUGCAGGGUAUAGACCCGAAACCCGGUGAUCUAGCCAUGGGCAGGUUGAAGGUUGGGUAACACUAACUGGAGGACCGAACCGACUAAUGUUGAAAAAUUAGCGGAUGACCUGUGGCUGGGGGUGAAAGGCCAAUCAAACCGGGAGAUAGCUGGUUCUCCCCGAAAGCUAUUUAGGUAGCGCCUCGUGAA
rnacentral:rRNA from 1 species